GACGUAGGGUGCAAGCGUUGUCCGGAUUUACUGGGCGUAAAGGGCGCGUAGGCGGCCUCUGCAAGUCGACUGUGAAAUCUCCGGGCUUAACCCGGAACGGUCAGCCGAUACUGCAGGGCUAGAGUGCAGAAGGGGCAACUGGAAUUCUCGGUGUAGCGGUGAAAUGCGUAGAUAUCGAGAGGAACACCUGCGGCGAAGGCGGGUUGCUGGGCUGACACUGACGCUGAGGCGCGAAAGCUAGGGGAGCGAACGGG
rnacentral:rRNA from 1 species